UACGUAGGGGGCAAGCGUUGUCCGGAAUCAUUGGGCGUAAAGAGCGUGUAGGCGGUUCGGUAAGUCGGCUGUGAAAGUCCAGGGCUCAACCCUGGGAUGCCGGUCGAUACGGCCGGACUAGAGUUCGGAAGAGGCGAGUGGAAUUCCCGGUGUAGCGGUGAAAUGCGCAGAUAUCGGGAGGAACACCUAUGGCGAAGGCAGCUCGCUGGGACGUUACUGACGCUGAGACGCGAAAGCGUGGGGAGCAAACAGG
rnacentral:rRNA from 1 species